CUGAACCUACCUCGCGGUCUUCUUCCAGUCGUGAUUGGCUGCUCCUAGUUGAUACUACUAGAUCUGAUAUCCAAAUUCACGCCCGCAUUUCUCGCAGCAAUUCGAUCUGACACAUUGGCUGCGAGUUUAGUCCUUCUGCCAUGUGGAUUGUCCUGUGCAGUAUAUUCAGUUUCCCGUUUGAGUUUGUGGAAUGCAUCUGCAACUCUUCAAAUCGAAUGUUCUCUAAUUUACACGGGCUAAUUCUACUUUGAAAUUCCCAUUUUAACCCUUGUACGAGCUCUUGUGUCCAGGCUAAACUAAACGCAGCAGAAUUUCCCUUUACAAGAAUGUUACAAGCUAUCGGGUGCUCAACUUUGUUCCUUUCUUCAAAGGACUGAAACAGAGUGGUAUAAAUAUUUGCAAACUCAGAUAGCCCCUAGUCCACACCACAGGCAUUCUGCACACAAACACAAUAGUAUUAGUAUAUCGGAGGGAGCAACAAAAGCUUUCUGCCGGCAAUGGCGGAGGUUGGGGGCAUGAUUGCGAGUGCCGUGGCCCAUGGGGAAACAACUGGCUAGCAAGCUUGGCGAGCUUGUGAACGAGGAGAUCGCUCUGCUGUUGGGUUUCCAGGACGAAGUGGAAGGCUUGGAGGAGAAAAUGAAAGAGUUGGAGGCCGUGAUGCAUGAUGCUGACGAUAGGCUGCGCCGAGGCGAAAGAGAUGGGGAAGCAGUUGGGCGGAAGUGAUGCAUGAUCCACCACCACGAGCUCUAGUUCAUCUGUUGAUCGGAGUGUAGGUCUGAUCCAGUGGCAACAACCAGUGGAGGAGGCCUGAACAAGCCCACGUAUUUCUGAAAAUCCAGUCAUAUUUGCUAACUUCCACAUCUGCAUUGCGAGGAAGUUUUACUCAUUGUUGGAUGCGGUUGAAGAGUGAAGCCGGUAAUAGCAGAGCAUGGAGAGGCAAGCACAGCUGAGGGUGAGCAACAGGCGGAGUUUCAACAUGGGAAGAUGGAAUGGAACACUGCUUCUGAAAAGCAGGAUUGAAACAACCCGCUUCGCUGUAUGUUGGUUUCUAUGGAGCGAGCAAGUGAAAUCGUUGAAGAGCUGAUAAAACAGAGACAGAGACUGCAUAACUAAUUGACAUUGCGACAACAUUCUCUGCGCUUGUAUGGGUGGGAUGGCACAACUGUUGGUCUAGUCAGCUAAGACAGCAGUCAGACUGAGUCGUGAUGGGAGUCGAAGGCGAAGGUCAGAACUCUCUGUCAGAUGGAACAAUGAAUGACAGAAUGAAUAAUCGUGAUGGGAGUAUGAUACACAUUGUUUUCGCUAUUGUAUUUCUGAGUGUACAUGCUUGUUUUCAUGGUGCACUCAGAAUCGCGGUGUGUGCUCAUAAGAUAGCUAAUAAUUGCUUGGCUUGUUUGCAUAUCUAAUAAAUGCUACAUGUUCUUCACUUGAUA